rnacentral:rRNA from 1 species
GCCUAACACAUGCAAGUCGAGCGCAGUCCUUCGGGACCGAGCGGCGGACGGGUUAGUAACGCGUGGGAAUAUGCCCUUCACUACGGAAUAGCCUCGGGAAACUGAGAGUAAUACCGUAUACGCCCUUCGGGGGAAAGAUUUAUCGGUGAAGGAUUAGCCCGCGUAAGAUUAGAUAGUUGGUGGGGUAAUGGCCUACCAAGUCUACGAUCUUUAGCUGGUUUUAGAGGAUGAUCAGCAACACUGGGACUGAGACACGGCCCAGACUCCUACGGGAGGCAGCAGUGGGGAAUCUUGGACAAUGGGCGCAAGCCUGAUCUAGCCAUGCCGCGUGUGUGAUGAAGGCCUUAGGGUCGUAAAGCACUUUCGCCAGAGAUGAUAAUGACAGUAUCUGGUAAAGAAACCCCGGCUAACUCCGUGCCAGCCGCCGCGGUAAUA